UACGUAGGGUGCGAGCGUUGUCCGGAAUUAUUGGGCGUAAAGAGCUUGUAGGCGGUUUGUCGCGUCUGCUGUGAAAAUCCGGGGCUCAACCCCGGACUUGCAGUGGGUACGGGCAGACUAGAGUGUGGUAGGGGAGACUGGAAUUCCUGGUGUAGCGGUGAAAUGCGCAGAUAUCAGGAGGAACACCGAUGGCGAAGGCGGUUCUCUGGGCAGUAACUGACGC
rnacentral:rRNA from 1 species